rnacentral:rRNA from 1 species
UACGUAGGGUGCAAGCGUUGUCCGGAAUUAUUGGGCGUAAAGAGCUCGUAGGCGGUCUGUCGCGUCUGCUGUGAAAACUCGGGGCUUAACCCCGGGCCUGCAGUGGGUACGGGCAGACUAGAGUGCGGUAGGGGAGACUGGAAUUCCUGGUGUAGCGGUGAAAUGCGCAGAGAUCGGGAGGAACACCGGUGGCGAAGGCGGGUCUCUGGGCAAUUCCUGACGCUGAGGCGCGAAAGCGUGGGGAGCAAACGGG